UUUGAAGCUUUGAUUACCACUUGAGGAGAACAAGUGUGGCCCGAUCUUCCGAAAGGUUCUGGUAACUAUUGAUUUGGUGGAAACGAGACACAAAUCAAUCCACCUUGCGAACAAUACGAUCCGAAACCCUGCAAUUAUUUUUUUGAUAUUUUUCUUUUACUUAGGAGCAUUCAAGAAGUAACCACAGGAAAUUUGAGCUUAAACAACUGAAAGACGUGGCCUGUGGAAAAUUUUGAAGAUCGUGAAAGAUAUGAAAAAAAAUUAGGAGGUGAAAACUCAAACUUCAGAGGUGAAUUUAGGGAUUCUAAAAUUGUUGAACUCACCGAUGGCGGACAAAGACAGAUCCAAAAAAUUUUUCUCAUCUAUUUUGAUAUAUGGAACGUCAAAAUUGGAGUUCGUCUGCGAAAGUUAUGGGUUUUUUACGAACGGACUCCGAAUUAGAGGACAAAACGGUCCGGAAGUCGGAAAAAUUUGAGGCGGCGGCUAGAAAUUGAUGGAAACGGUGGGAAGAAACACACAAACUUGGCUCUAACAAUACCUAACCAGUAACAAGACCUCGACCAGGACACAAACUCAACACUACGGACUGUGAAACUGAAAUAUGCAAAGGCUAUGGCGCGGAUGGGUUGUAGGACAUGAAAACAAUAUGGCACUAGACUUAUGGGACGAACACAAGGACACUCGAAACAAAGGGUAGAUGUGAACCUAACGGUAUGUCUGAUGCUUUGAUUACCACUUGAGGAGAACAAGUGUGGCUCGAUCUUCCGAAAGUUUCUGGUAACUAUCGAUUUGGUGGAAACGAGACACAAAUCAAUCCAGCUUGCGAACAACACGAUUCGAAACCCUGCAAUUCUUUUUUUUUUGAUAUUUUUCUUUUACUUAGGAGCACUCUAGAAGUAAGCACAGGAAAUUUGACCUUAAACAAGUGAAAGACGUGGCCUGUGAAUUUUUUUUGAAGAUUGUGAAAAAUAUAAAAAAAACUUUAGGAGGUGAAAACUUAAACUUCAGAGGUAAAUUGGGGAUUCUAAAAUUGUCGAACCCACCAGGCAGAUCCAAAAUUUUCUAAUGAUCGAUUUUGAUAUAUGGAACGUCAAAAUUGGAGUUCGUAUGCAAAAGUUAUGGCUGUUUUAAGAACAGACUCCGAAUUAGAGCACAAAACGGUCCGGAAGUGGGAAAAUUUGCGGCGGUGGCUAGAAAUUGAUGGAAACGGUGGGAAAAAACACACAAACUAGACCCUAAUAAGACCUAACCUAUAACAAUACCUCGACCAGGACACAAACUCAACACUACAGACUCUGAAACUGAAAUAUGCAAAGGCUAUAGCGCGGAUGGGUUGUAGGACAUGAAAACAAUAUGGCACUAGACUUAUGGGACGAACACAAGGACACUCGAAACUAAGGGUAGAUGUAAACCUAACGGUAUGUCUGAAGCUUUGAUUACCACUUGAUGAGAACAGGUGUGGCCCGAUCUUCAGAAAGGUUCUGGUAACUAUCGAUUUGGUGGAAACGAGACACAAAUCAAUCCAAAUUGUGAACAACACGAUCCGAAACCCUACAAGUCUUUUUAUUUUUUUUGAUAAUUUUCUUUUACUUAGGAGCACUCAAGAAGUAAUCACAGGAAAUUUGAGCUUAAACAUGUGAAAGACGUGGCCUGUGAAAUUUAUUGAAGAUUGCGAAAAUUAUGAAAAAAAACUUUAGGAGGUGAAAACUCAAACUUUAGAGGCGAAUUUGGGGAUUCUAAAAUUAUCGAACCCGAUUAAAGCGGGGAUAGGCAGAUCCAAAAUUUUAUUAUGAUCGAUUUUGAUAUGUGGAACGUCAAAAUUGGAAUUCAUAUGCGAAAGUUAUGGCUAUUUUACGAAUGGACUCCGAAUUAGAGGACAAAACGGUGUGGAAGUGGGAAAAAUUUGCGGCGGUGGCUAGAAAUUGAUGGAAACGGUGGGAAAAACACACAAACUGGACUCUAACAAGACCUAACCAGUAACAAUACCUCGAUCUAGACACAAACUCAACACUACGGACUCUGAAACUGAAAUAUACUAAGGCUAUGGUACGGAUGGGUUGUAGGACAUGAAAACAAUAUGGCACUAGACUUAUGGGACAAACACAAGGACACUCGAAACUAAGGGUAGAUGUGAACCUAAUGGUAUGUCUGAAGCAUUGAGUACCAGUUGAGGAGAACAAGUGUGGCCCGAUCUGUAACACCCCAGUGUUAUGGUUGCAUCAUUCACAUGCAUAACAUAAGCAUCAUCAUCUACUCAAGCAUAUCAUGAUCAUCAUCUACCUUGAGCCAUGUCAUUUUAUGCUAAAGUGUGCUUUAACUUGUUUAAUUAUGCUUCCUAUGCUUGUGCUUGUUUGUGCCAUGCUCAUGCUUGUGUGCUAGGCCUUGGUAAUUAGUUUAUCUAUGCUGAACUUAACCUUAGGUACAAUGUUCAUGUUGAUCACUUCUCCAAAUUAAGUGCUUAAGUCAUACUUCCAUGUAUAGGCCCUAGAAAGUUCUUUUGUUUAAGCUUUUAAAUAGUGUUUCAUAAAGUGUUUGCAUGUCAAAGCUUUCUAUAGAAAAGUUGUAGCAAAUUUUAUAAGGAACAAAAGUUGUUUUAUGGCCAUCUCAUUAAAAUAAUCACAUCUUGCUCAAAAAGUGCUUGCAAGGCAGUUUUGGGUGCUGUUUUAACACUUAGCCAAAUUUGGCUAAGUCCAGACGACACCAGUUUGCUCGAUCGAUCUUAGAAGCUUCAUAUCUCUCAAUCCAGGCCGAUCUGGCUCUUGCUCUAGUUGACAAUGUUGUAGAACUCAGCUGGUACUUCAUCUUUGUCAACUACACCAUUUCCUAAUUCGCUUUGGUUUGGGAGAUAAUCGCUGUCAAAGUCGCUCUGUCAGACGACCAUCGCCUUGUCUGAAUCGAAGCCGAGCUCGUCGACGUGGCCGACCGGCGACAGAACAUCGGCGACAUUUGGCACCCGUACGUCGUCCCUGGCCCCGCUCGUCAGCUCCCAGCAUGCGCAUGACCUCCACGGCGACGCCCCAGACGCACUGGACGCGUCCAUUCUCUCCUCCCUCUCGCUCUCUCGCCAGAAAAGCGGCCGCAGUGAGCUCACCGUCGCGAGCUCACUCCGGCGAGCUCAAACGCGCUCCUCUCUGCAUUGCUGCCCACCAAAACUCACCCACAGCUCUGCCGUGACCCACUCUCCAUCCUCCACCCGCACACUCGCCGUGAAACCCUCCGGUGAGCCGACAUUUCCGACUUCCCCCAAAUCGGGUCGUCGUGACCUUCUUCUCCGGUGAACACAAUGCUGAGCUCCUCAGAGCCUCUCAUCUUCUCUGGUUAGGUCCUAGAGGUAGCUUAGGUCCUUAGCGAAUGUUUGCACCACUUGGUGGACGCUCUACCGCACUCACCGUCGCCGGACACGACGCGCAGCGCCGCCGUGUUUCCGUCGGAGUUCGGCUCUCUCGUGGCCAGCUCAUUCCACACCGUUUCAAGCCUAGUCACCUACCUAGAAAGCUUCGUCAUAGUUUACUGGUGCUGUAGGAAACCCUAGGUCGCGCUCUACCAGCCUGAGAGCUCCGGCGUAACGCCGAGCACCUCCGCCGAGCCGCCAUGGUUGACGGCAAGCCAUUUCCGGUGGCUCUGCCGUGGGGAAAAGGGGGUCACUCGGUUCGCAAGGGUCUUGGGAUCAUGUUGGUGCCCUUGAUUUGGCCGGAGACCUCGCCGUCACGGAGAAAUCGCCGGUGAAAGUCGUCUCGGUCGUGAGGAAGACGACCCUGACACGCGGGGCCCGCUGUCAGCGACACAUCGUUUCCCUCCUUUUCUUUUAUUCAAAUCCAGAUUUUUGGCAUUCUUGCAAAAAUCAUAUCUUCUGUUUCUGUGCUCCUGUCAUGUUCCUUGAGAUGGCUAGUUUUUAUUAAAAAUAUAAAAUGCACCAUGUUUUCUGGGAAAAAUAAUUGGUAUGAUUUAAUCUUGUUAUUAUGUGUAAAUUCAUAUCUCUUGAUAUACUGCUACUUUUGCUAUGAAAUUUUGAUGCUAUGCUCUGAGUGGUAUAAGAAUGCUAUGACAAAUAUUUCUUGAUUUUUGGAGUAAUGAUAUGUGUUAUGUAAUUUAUGGUUGUGAUAUGGCUUGUUUUCUUACUUAAAUCAUAAUAAAUAAUUGGUGCUUAUGCUGGUGCUCUACUCUGGUGUCAAACUUGUUUAUGAUAAUAGUCACAUGUAAAUAAUCUGAAAUCUAUUGUUUGACACUAUCUAAGCUAUGUUUCUUAAUUUAUGAAAUAAGCACCUUGUCACAGGAUUAAAUGCUUAUCUUAAAUUUGGCAUGUGCAAUUGCUCUGAAAAUUUUAUGGUGAUGUUAAGAUGCUAUGCUUGUGCUUGUAUAAAUUUUGUAGAUUUUUCUAAGCACUUUUGCUAGUAUCUUGUAAUUAUGUCCUUUUUAUGGAAUUAAGUUAAUAAAUGCCAUGUUAUUAAUGUUUGGUGGUUCACAUGUGAUGUUCUGGUCAUCUUAGGGUAAUCUUGUGCUUGUAAGCCAUUUGGUUGACACUAUUUAUGUUUUGGCAUUGUCAUCAAAUAAUUUUUAAAGGGGUUAAAAGCUGUUCUGGACAGCAAGGAAGUAAUCUAACUUUUGCUUAAUGAUAACUUGGUCUUCUGGAAGAAUUGUCUAAAUCAUAGUUGUUGUAAACUUUAUGAACUAGCUGUGGUUUAAAUUUUGGAUCAUUUGGUCCAGUAGUUUUGAAAUUGUGGCUUUUACAAGUUGGGUGCCAGAAAUAGGUGUUCUCUGUUUUCUGGGACAGAACCUGGAACUUUGUUUAAAUAACUUGUUUAACUUAUGAAUCUUGCUAUGAUGUCUAAAGAUGAAAUGUAGACAAAUUCAUAAGCUUUCCAUAAUGUCCUCAUUCAUGAUUGUUGGAUCUAUAUAGCUCCAGUUAUGAUUUAUUCCUUGAGCUGCACUGCUUUGUUGGUCAUUGCUGUUUGUAGUUUAACUUGGUAAUCUUGCUAAUUAGUUAAUCAUCUUGUGUGAACGGGUUAUGACAGUUACUCCGUAAAUGAGUGUUCAGCGAGUCUAAUUAUGUUAUCAAGCAUUCAUCCUUUUAGGAUGCACAUAUUCUUAUUCAUCGUGCAUGCAAUAGGUGCAUUGGAAACGACCGCUGUGUUCGAGCUCCAGGUGAACCCCGACGGCCAAGAGAUCAACCCGGAGGUGGAGGUCCAGCAAGCCAGACACAAGGAGCCCGAACAGGAGAUUGAGUGCCUGAAUCAUGAGCCUACAUCGUUCGUGAAUGGCAAGCCCCGGAGCAUCUUAAGUCUCCCAUUUUAAUUUCGAAAGCUUACUUGAUUAUGUUAUAUCUAUUGAUGCGUUACGUAUAGGAGUUGUGGUGAAACCCUUGCUGCAUUAUACUCAUUCCUUGUCCAGAUAUAUCUUACCACUACCUGGUUAUAGAGUUAGGAUCGAGUAGCAGCUUAGUCAUGCUUUAAUCGGUAGAAGUCGGGUGAUAUCCUGUCACCUGUGCGAGAUAGGGUUGUGUUGGAUCACGAUUGUCUAUAUGUGCUAUCGUGAAAAGAACCUGUUUAAAAUGACUUAAGUCGGGCGGAGUUUUGCAAGGUUGUAGUAACUCCGUCUGUGGCAGCUAAGGACCGAUCGUUGUACGUCCACUUGUCAUGUUGAACGCAUGCCUAACACUUAGUUGGCCGGAUAACUCGUUCCGACCGCGAAGCCUAGUAGUAUGACUCAGGCCGGAAGACCGGCAAGUAUAAAGUGCGCACUACCGGAGGAAGUACGGUGUGUGGGGGACCAUUGGCGUAAGACCAAAGGCAGGUGAGUUAAAAGUCCUGACCUCCCUGGCAGAGUGGUAGCCCUGGGAGUGCGGCGCUGAUCGGAGCUGCGAUUCCUGAGUCGUACCAAAGGUGACCCGCUGGCUCUCUGACAGGGGAUGCUUGGAUGAGUGCUAGGAAUAAUCCUCCAGCUGGAUAGGAAUCGAUUCGAAUUGCCGUAUCUCCCGGAUAGUGAGAACUCGACAGAGCGGCAAACGUAGCAUCCACUAAAGAACUUUGGUUCGUGAUAAUGAUGAUAGCAGGGAAGAGCACAUGAUGAACUUGAUAUGGUUAUUAUUGUUUGUAUUAAUCAAAGUGAAGUGCUUUAGUACAGGUGCUAAUCUAGUGAUAAGCUAAUAAAGACUAAAUGGACGCCUUUACAAAUGGUAUGGUAAUCACUUAAGCUUUAGUCAAAUGAUGAGUCAAACCAGCUACACUUUAUACUUAGCCUUGCAUGACCGUUGGUGUCUUUUAUGUUUUUACUAGACGGGUAAGUCUAGUUGAGUACAUUCUCGUACUCGAGGUUUAUUCCCACCUAUUGCAGAUGAUGUCUUUUAUGACGGCUUCUGCAAGACCUGUCUCCAUCCCGCUGGGGAUGAAGACUAAACCGUUGGGCACGGUUCUCUGACUACUUCGUACCUGUUGCUUUUGGUGGAUGGCAUAAGACUCUGGCAGAAACAAGAACUUGUGAACUAAACUUUGGAACAUGUGUUGUAAAACUAUUUUGCUUCCGCUACCGCAAACUUGUGUUGUAAUAACUAAGUAACUCUGAUGUGGUGCCGCUUCGACGGCAAUGAAUGACUAUGUAACAUUCGCUGUGUUAUGUUGAACUAUUACAAUCUUGGUUUGUUGCAAGUUGGUUUGAAGUCCUUCGCGAUUUCAGUUGACUACCGGGAUUAUAUGGGCUCAAGUUUGGAAACUUGAUUGCUAGUCGAUUGUUUCUACACUUGAACUCUUAUAAUUUGGUCGGUUAUGUGACACGAUCUUCCGAAAGGUUCUGGUAACUAUCGAUUUGGUGGAAACGAGACACAAAUCAAUUCAGCUUGCGAACAACACGAUUCGAAACUCUGCAAUUCUUUUUUUUUUGAUAUUUUUCUUUUACUUAGGAGCACUCAAGAAGUAACCACAGGAAAUUUGAGCUUAAACAAGUGAAAGACGUGGCCUGUGAAAUUUUUUGAAGAUUGCGAAAAAUAUGAAAAAAAACUUUAGGAGGUGAAAACUCAAAUUUCAGUGGCGAAUUUGGGGAUUCUAAAAUUGUCGAACCCGCCAAGAUAGGGGAUAGGCAGAUCCAAAAUUUUAUUAUGAUCAAUUUUAAUAUAUGGAAUGUCAAAAUCGGAGUUCGUAUGCGAACGUUAUGGCUGUUUUACGAACGGACUCCGAAUUAGAGGACAAAACGGUUCAGAAGUGGGGAAAUUUGCGGCGGUGGCUAGAAAUUGAUGGAAACGGUGGGAAAAAACACACAAACUGGACUCUAACAAGACCUAACCAGUAACAAUACCUUGACCAGGACACAAACUCAACACUACGGACUCUGAAACUGAAAUAUGCAAAGGCUAUAGCACGGAUGGGUUGUAGGACAUGAAAACAAUAUGGCACUAGACUUAUAGGACGAACACAAGGACACUCGAAACUAAGGGUAGAUGUGAACCUAACGGUAUGUCUGAAGCUUUGGUUACCACUUGAGGAGAACAAGUGUGGCCUUAUCUUCCGAAAGGUUCUGGUAACUAUCGGUUUUGUGGAAACCAGACACAAAUCAAUUCAACUUGCGAACAAUACGAUCCGAAAUCCUACAAUUCUUUUUAUUUUUUUGAAAUUUUUAUUUUACUUAAGAGCACUCAAGAAGUAACCACAGGAAAUUUGAGCUUACACAAGUGAAAGACGUGGCCUAUGGAUUUUUUUGAAGAUUCCAAAAAAUAUGAAAAAAAACUUUAGGAGGUGAAAACUUAAACUUUAUAGGUAAAUUUGGGGACUCUAAAAUUGUCGAACCCUCAUUGGGCGGGGAUAGACAGAUCCAAAAAAUUUUUCUAGAUCGAUUUUGAUAUAAAGAACGUCAAAAUUGGAGUUCGUAUACGAAAGUUAUGGCUGUUUUACGAACGAACUCCGAAUUAGUGGACAAAACGGUCUAGAAGUGGGAAAAAUUUGCGGUGGUGGCUAGAAAUUGAUGGAAUCGGAUGGAAAAAAUACACAAACUGGACUCUAACAAGAUCUAACUAGCAACAAGACCUCGACCAGGACACAAACUCAACACUAUGGACUUUGAAACUAAAAUAUGCAAAGGCCAUGGCUCGGAUGGGUUGUAGGACAUGAAAACAAUAUGGCACUAGACUUUUGGGAUGAACAUAAGAACACUCGAAACUAAGGUUAGAUGUGAACCUAACGGUAUGUCUGAAGCUUUCAUUACCACUUGAGGAGAACAAGUGUGGCCCGAUCUUCUGAAAGGUUCUGGUAACUAUGAUUUGGUGGAAACGAGACACAAAUCAAUUCAGCUUGCGAACAACACAAUUCAAAACCCUACAAUUCUUUUUAUUUUUUUUUAAUAUUUUUCUUUUACACAGGAGCACUCAAGAAGUAACCACAUGAAAUUUGAGCUUAAACAAGUGAAAGACGUGGCCUGUGGAAAUUUUUGAAGAUUGCGAAAAAUAUGAAAAAAAAACUUUAGGAGGUGAAAAUUCAAACUUCAGAGGCAAAUUUGGGGAUUCUCAAAUUGUCGAACCCCACAACGGCGGGGAUAGGCAGAUCCAAAAUUUUAUUAUAAUCGAUUUUGAUAUAUGGAACAUCAAAAUCGGAGUUCGUAUGCGAAAGUUACGGCUAUUUUACGAACGGACUCCGAAUUAGAGGACAAAACGGUCCGGAAGUGGCAAAAAUUUGCGGCGGUGGCUAGAAAUUGAUGAAAACGAUGGGAAAAAACACACAAACUGGACUCUAACAAGACCUAACUAGUAACAAUACCUCGACCAGGACACAAAGUCAACACUACGGACUCUGAAACUGAAAUAUGCAAAGGCUAUGGCGCGGAUGGGUUGUAGGACAUGAAAACAAUAUGGCACUAGACUUAUGGGACGAACACAAGGACACUCGAAACUAAGGGUAGAUGUGAACCUAACGGUAUGUCUCAAGCUUUGAUUACCACUUGAGGAGAACAAGUCUGGCCCGAUCUUCUGAAAGGUUCUGGUAACUAUCGAUUUGGUGGAAACGAGACACAAAUCAAUCCAAAUUGCGAACAACACGAUCCGAAACCCUACAAUUCUUUUUAUUUUUUUGAUAUUUUUCUUUUACUUAGGAGCACUCAAGAAGUAACCACAGGAAAUUUGAGCUUAAACAAGUGAAAGACGUGGCCUGUGGAAUUUUUUGAAGAUUGUGAAAAAUAUGAAAAAAAAGUUUAGGAGGUGAAAACUCAAACUUCAGAGGCGAAUUUGGGGAUUCUAAAAUUGUCGAACCCGCCUUUGGCGGGGAUAGCCCGAUCAAAAAAAAUUUUCUGAUCGAUUUUGAUAUAUGAAACGUCAAAAUUGGAGUUCGUAUGCGAAAGUUAUGGCUAUUUUACGAACGGACUCCGAAUUAGAGGACAAAACGGUCCAGAAGUGAGAAAAAUUUGGGGUGGUGGCUAGAAAUUGAUGGAAACAGUGGGAAAAAAUAAACAAACUGGACUGUAACAAGACCUAACCAGUAACAAGACCUCGACCAGGACACAAACUCAACACUACGGACUCUGAAACUGAAAUAUGCAAAGGCUAUGGCGCGGAUGGGUUGUAGGACAUGAAAACAAUAUGGCACUAGACUUAUGGGACGAACACAAGGACACUUGAAACUAAGGGUAGAUGUGAACCAAACGGUAUGUCUGAUGCAUUGAUUACCACUUGAGGAGAACAAGUGUGGUCCGAUCUUCCGAAAGUUUCUGGUAACUAUCGAUUUGGUGGAAACGAGAGACAUAUCAAUCCAGUUUGCGAACAACAUUAUUCGAAACCCUACAAUUCUUUUUUUUGAUAUUUUUCUUUUACUUAGGAGCAGUCAAGAAGUAACCACAGGAAAUUUGAGCUUAAACAAGUGAAAUACGUGGCCUGUGGAAUUUUAUGAAGAUUGUGAAAAAUAUGAAAAAAAAACUUUAGGAGGUGAAAACUCAAACUUCAGAGGCGAAUUUGGGGAUCCUAAAAUUGAUGAACCCACCGUUGGUGGGGAUAGACAGAUCCAAAAAAAUUUUCUGAUCGAUUUUGAUAUAUGGAACGUAAAAUCAGAGUUCAUAUGCGAAAGUUAUGGCUGUUUUACGAACGGACUCCGAAUUAGAGGACAAAACGGUCCGGAAGUGGGAAAAAUUUGCGGCAGUGGCUAGAAAUUGAUUGAAACGGUGGGAAAAAACACACAAACUGGACUCUAACAAGACCUAACCGGUAACAAGACCUUGACCAUGACACAAACUCAACACUACGGACUGAAAUAUGCAACGGCUAUGGCGCGGAUGGGUUGUAGGACAUGAAAACAAUAUGGCACUGGACUUAUGGGACGAACACAAGGAAACUUGAAACUAAGGGUAGAUGUGAACCUAACGGUAUGUCUGAAGCUUUGAUUACCACUUGAGGACAGAUCCGAUCUUCCGAAAGUUUCUCGUAACUAUCGAUUUGGUGGAAACGAGAGACAUAUCAAUCCAGCUUGCGAACAACACAAUUCGAAACCCUGUAAUUCUUUUUAUUUUUUUUUUGAUAUUUUUCUUUUACUUAGGAGCACUCAAGAAGUAACCACAGGAAAUUUGAGCUUAAACAAGUGAAAGACAUGGCCUGUAGAAUUUUUUGAAGAUUGUGAAAAAUAUGAAAAAAAACUUUAGGAGGUGAAAACUCAAACUUCAGAGGCGAAUUUAGGGAUUCUAUAAUUGUCGAACCCACAGAUGGCGGUGAUAGACAGACCUAAAAAAAUUUCAGAUCAAUUUUGAUAUAUGGAACGUCAAAAUUGGAGUUCGUAUGCGAAAGUUAUGGCUGUUUUACGAACGGACUCCGAAUUAGAGGACAAAAAAGUCCGAAAGUGGGAAAAAUUUGCGGCAGUGGCUAGAAAUUGAUGGAAACGGUGGGAAAAAACACACAAACUGGACUCUAACAAGACCUAACCGGUAACAAGACCUAGACGAGGACACAAACUCAACACUACGGACUGUGAAACUGAAAUAUGCAACGGCUAUGGCGCGGAUGGGUUGUAGGACAUGAAAACAAUAUGACACUAGACUUAUGGGACGAACACAAGGACACUUAAAACUAAGGGUAGAUGUGAACCUAACGGUAUGUCUGAAGCUUUGAUUACCACUUGUGAAGAACAAGUGUGGCCCGAUCUUCCAAAAGUUUCUCGUAACUAUCGAUUUGGUGGAAACGAGAGACAUAUCAAUCCAGCUUGCGAACAACACAAUUCGAAACCCUACAAUUCUUUUUAUUUUUAUUUUUUGAUAUUUUUCUUUUACUUAGGAGCACUCAAGAAGUAACCACAGGAAAUUUGAACUUAAACAAGUGAAAGACGUGCCCUAUGGAAUUUUUUGAAGAUUGUGAA
rnacentral:lncRNA from 1 species